CGAGCCCGUCCUCAUCUUCUAGUGCUCUUUUAUAUAUACAGUACAUCCAUCCAUUUGGAUGCAAAGAGGGCAAGUAUGUAAGCUAAGCAAAGAGGGAAUCUAGACCGGCCAAUGCAUAUUGGGUCCAUUCGUGCGAGCAAAAAAAAAAUAUAGAUGCAAAACUUGGAAAAAGGAAUGUGUAUUUUCUGGCAUGAUGUAUGGUGAUUUUUGUGUUAGCGACAAGGUUUUGGUUACAGACGAAAAAACCCUUUUGAAAUUUUGAAUUUAAGACAUGAAUAACAUAUGAACCUGAUCCACUACACUAUGAUAUUUACAGUAUUACAUAUGUGCAAUACAUAAUCAUCUUCAAAAGAGAAAAAAAUAAACUCAAAUUUUGAUUAAAAAAAUCAUGGCAAAAUAUACUCCCUC
rnacentral:lncRNA from 1 species